AUGAGGAGUCGGGCGGCCCGGGAGCCCGGCCGGGGCUCGGGGCCUCGGCCGGGCUCGGGGCGAUCGUCGGGGCGGUCAUCGUGCGCCCGCUGUCGUGC
rnacentral:tRNA from 1 species